rnacentral:sRNA from 1 species
AAUAGCGCGGACGCGUUCCAAGCUACGAGACGGGUUCAACACUUUUACCAAAACACUUUUGAUGACUUAGGAUUUGAAUGAUAAAAGUUCAUUUUUAAUAAUGAAACCGACUGGUAAUGCGGUCGUCUAAUUUUAAAAACAACUUUUGGCAACGGAUCUCUUGGUUCUCCCAUCGAUGAAGAACGCAGCGAAUUGCGAUAAGUAAUGUGAAUUGCAGAAGUGAAUCAUCGAAUCUUUGAACGCACCUUGCGCUCCCGGCAGAUCUAAUCUGGGGAGCAUGCCUGUUUGAGGGCCGCGAAUUGUUUCGAACAACUGCUUUUUUUAAUUAAGAAGAAGUUGGAUCGGUAUUGAGGGUUUUGCCAUUCACCGUGGCUCCCUCGAAAUGCAUUAGCGCAUCCAUUUGAUAGGCAAGACGGACGAAAGCUCACUUUCGCUCUCUCUUCCCUGCCGGGUUUUGAUAAUAUCAGGACUUCGGAGAGGUUGAGUUGGGUACGAGCUGGAGCAACGACUUGCUGUUUGGUAGUGCUUCUGAAACCCGCCCAUGUCGAGCUUUAUUGCUCGAAAGGGAUUUUAAUAAUUCAUCGGCCUCAGAUU